AUCCAGCUGACGAGUUCCAAAUAGAACGAAACACUCUUCGUGAAU
rnacentral:hammerhead_ribozyme from 1 species